rnacentral:rRNA from 1 species
GAUGAACGCUGGCGGCGUGCUUAACACAUGCAAGUCGAACGAUGAUGCCCAGCUUGCUGGGUGGAUUAGUGGCGAACGGGUGAGUAACACGUGAGUAACCGCCCUUGACUCUGGGAUAAGCCUGGGAAACUGGGUCUAAUACCGGAUACGACCAUCUGGCGCAUGUCAUGGUGGUGGAAAGCUUUUGUGGUUUUGGAUGGACUCGCGGCCUAUCAGCUUGUUGGUGGGGUAAUGGCCUACCAAGGCGACGACGGGUAGCCGGCCUGAGAGGGUGACCGGCCACACUGGGACUGAGACACGGCCCAGACUCCUACGGGAGGCAGCAGUGGGGAAUAUUGCACAAUGGGCGCAAGCCUGAUGCAGCGACGCCGCGUGAGGGAUGACGGCCUUCGGGUUGUAAACCUCUUUCAGUAGGGAAGAAGCGAAAGUGACGGUACCUGCAGAAGAAGCGCCGGCUAACUACGUG